CUGAAAGAGGAUAGAAGCCAGAAUUGGAGGAAGCUGAGAGGAGAGAUGAUACCAGCUGUGGAACAGAAGAGAUGACUUCAGCCCCUGAACAGGACAGACGGUUCCAGCCUCUGAAGAAGGAAAGACGACAGUUCCAGCCUCCAAAAGAAGAAGAAAGAAAGGGAAGACUCCACUCCUGGCCUCCAAAGAAAGAAAAGAAAAGAGCAAAGAGAGAAGCACACUGAUGGCAGCAGAGAUGAGAGAGUUCCAGCCAAAUCAGUGUAAGGGUUCUUUGCAUGGGCUUCUUCAGCAAUGGACGCUGACAAUUUGUGGACCCAAUCUUAAGAAAGCAGGUGAUGAAUUGAGGGCCUCCCCAGUGGCACAGCGGUUGAG